GUGCUCACCUCAGCAGCACAUACACUAAAACUGGAAUGACACAGAGAAGAUUAGCAUGGCCCCUGCACAAAGAUGAAAUGCAAAUUGGUGAAUCGUUCCAUAUUUUU
ensembl:snRNA U6 U6 spliceosomal RNA